ACCCCUCCAACUACAAUAAUAGUUACUAAAGAAAGAAUCUAUUCUUUUAAUCUUUAAGAACAAAUUAUUAAAGCCAAGAAUGAAGACUGUUGAUUAUUAGGCUUCUCAACAACAUAUCAAGAAAUGAGUUAUUGAUUGAGACCAGCCAAUGGAUACAUUCCCUUCCAAGAGAAAAUUGCUACUGAGGUUGCCACUGACUCUUCACCGACUAACCUUUAAACCAAGACAUCAUGGAAGCCUAAAAUGAACUUGUUACACAGCAGUGUACCAUAAAAUGCUCUUGAAAAGCUGGGCAGAGAAGCUGUGAAGUUUGUAUUUCUAAUCCAAAAGGAAGUCUGCUCUGUUAAGUACUGCUAAUUCUUCUCUUCCUGCAAAAUUCAAACUAUGAUCUAGGUUUGGAAACUGAACAGCAUCAGCAUUUAGGUGCAAGACCAGAAAAUGAAUUUGCAAAGAAGGCUAAAGGAGAAUCCAAGAGGAAGAAGGAAAUAAAAAGGAAAGAUGAUGUCUCAAAGCCAAGGAUAUUACACAAUCAAGAUGAUGAUCUCCAGAGCUGAACUCCUAUCCAAACAGCAGAAAUUUCUGCAAGGACAUGAGACAUCCUGAGCGUCUCUGAAAUAGGGAACUUAUGGCUGAACUUUGAAUAAAGUGUACAUCUCAAGAGUCAUAAAGCCAGCCAGGAAAGAGAAAGGGCCCUUCAUCCAAAACAUCUGUACUGAUGGCUCCAAGCCAACAGAGGAGCAAACACUCCAUGAACAAAAUUAUAAAUACAGGAUAAGUCACCAAAUCUGAAGUAGUCCUCUGAGUUAAGUGACUUUCAUAAAUACUUUCACUAGUUAAAAUGCAAGUUCAGAGGUAAAAAAAAUAUAUAUAUCUAAAGCAACCCUGAAACAAAUACUCCCAUUCUGGAAAUAAACCUUGCAUUCCCAAGUUUUAUAUGACAGCAGAUACUACAUCACAAUCAGAAGAAAACAAAAUGAAAUACGAGGCUCCCUCGAGAGAAUAAUGAUGCAUUUACUGAGGAAUAAAGCAACUUCAAUUUGGUUUCAAUUUGCUUUCCUUAAUGACAAAUAAUCAAGUCUGGGAACAGGAACCUCUGUACCUACAUCUGGUGAGGGGAAGGGUA